rnacentral:rRNA from 1 species
ACUCCUACGGGAGGCAGCAGUGGGGAAUCUUGGACAAUGGGGGCAACCCGUGCAUCCAGCCAUGCCGCGUGAGUGAUGAAGGCCUUAGGGUCGUAAAGCUCUUUCGCCUGUGAAGAUAAUGACGGUAGCAGGUAAAGAAACCCCGCGUACAUCCGUGCCAGCAGCCGCGGUAAUACGGAGGGGGUUAGCGUUGUUCGGAAUUACUGGGCGUAAAGCGCACGUAGGCGGAUCGGAAAGUUGGGGGUGAAAUCCCGGGGCUC